rnacentral:sRNA from 1 species
AUUAGCAUGCUUGGUAGGGGGGUGUAAGUUUCAGCUGAGAAAAUUCGUCUGAGAAACUUUUAUACCUAGUUCAUUGUGCUCAUCUCAAAAUAGGAUGGAAAUUAGAAUUCGCCAAUGUGUAUUACAAGUUAUAGAGAAAAUUAAGAACCGUAUACAGAAUCUGACUUGUUUAAUUUUUUUCUUUAAGGUGGUGAAUGAUCUCGUGUUCAGUGGUUCCAGUGAUCAGUCAGUCCAUGCCCACAACAUUCACACUGGUGAGCUCGUGCGGAUCUAUAAAGGUCACAAUCAUGCAGUGACUGUGGUGAAUAUCCUAGGAAAAGUGAUGGUGACUGCUUGCCUGGAUAAAUUUGUUCGUGUCUAUGAAUUACAGUCUCAUGAUCGAUUACAGGUUUAUGGAGGACACAAAGACAUGAUUAUGUGUAUGACCAUCCAUAAAAGCAUGAUUUACACUGGCUGUUAUGAUGGCAGUAUUCAGGCCGUGAGGCUUAAUCUGAUGCAGAAUUACCGCUGUUGGUGGCAUGGCUGCUCUCUGAUAUUUGGCGUUGUAGAUCAUUUAAAACAACACUUGCUGACCGACCACACUAAUCCCAACUUUCA